CUCGAAACAUUUUCCAAAAGGUUGUACAAAAAACAAUUUCAUGUCUGACUUGCUCGGAGCUCCACAGGUUACCUGCAUCUCGAAGGCCUCCAUACAGCUCUGUGCAACAUGGUACAACUAUUCAUCGGCUCGGGCAAACGUAGGAAAUUUUAUUCUACGCUCAGAAUGUACAGAUCAAAGAGCACUCGAACCAGAUGCUGCCGG
rnacentral:misc_RNA from 1 species